CCCACCCCCCGCCCUCCUCCCCUUCCACCACCCCUAGUUCGUUUCCCAGAGUUAGGAGUCUUUAUGUGCUGUCUCCCUUUCUGAUAUUUCCCACACAUUUCUUCCCCCUUCCCUUAUAUUCCCUUUCACUAUUAUUUAUAUUCCCCAAAUGAAUGAGAACAUAUAAUGUUUGUCCUUCUCCGAUUGACUUAUUUCACUCAGCAUAAUACCCUCCAGUUCCAUCCACGUUGAAGCAAAUGGUGGGUAUUUGUCAUUUCUAAUGGCUGAGUAAUAUUCCAUUGUAUACAUAAACCACAGCUUCUUUAUCCAUUCCAUCUUUCGAUGGACACCGAGGCUCCUUCCACAUUUGGCUAUCGUGGCCUUGCUGCCAUAAACAUCGGGGUGCAGGUGUCCCAGCGUUUCAUUGCAUUUGUAUCUUUGGGGUAAAUCCCCAACAGGCAAUUGCUGGGUCAUAGGCAGGUAUAUUUUUAACUGUUUGGAACCUCCACACAGUUUUCCCACAUGGCUGCACCAGUUCACAUUCCCCCAACAGUGUAAGAGGGUUCCCUUUUCCUCCACAUCCUCUCCAACAUUUGUUGUUUCCUGCCUUGUUAAUUUCCCAUUCUCACUGGUGUGAGGUGGUAUCUCAUUGUGGUUUGAUUUGUAUUUCCCUGAUGGCAAGUGAUGCAGGCAUUUUCUCAUGUGCAUGUUGGCCAUGUCUAUGUCUUUUUCUGUGAGAUUUCUGUUCAUGUCUUUUGCCCAUUUCUGAUUGGAUUGUUGUUUCUUUGGUGUUGAGUUUAAUAAGUUCUUUAGAUCUUGGAAACUAGCCCUUUAUCUGAUAUGUCAUUUGCAAAUAUCUUCUCCCAUUCUGUAGGUUGUCUUUGAGUUUUGUUGACUGUAUCCUUUGCUGUGCAAAAGCUUCUUAUCUUGAUGAAGUCCCAAUAGUUCAUUUUUGCUUUUGUUUCUUUGCCUUCGUGGAUGUAUCUGCAAGAAGUUACUAUGGCCGAGUUCAAAAAGGGUGUUGCCUGUGUUCUUCUCUAGGAUUUGGAUGAAUCUUGUCUCACAUUAGAUCUUUCAUCCAUUUUGAGUUUAUCUUUGUGUAUGGUGAAAGAGAGUGGGUCUAGUUUCAUUCUUCUGCAUGUGGAUGUCCAAUUUUCCCAGCACCAUUUAUUGAAGAGACUGUCUUUCUUCCAUGGAUAGUCUUUCCUCCUUUAUCGAAUAUUAGUUGCCCAUAAGUUCAGGGUCCACUUCUGGAUUCUCUAUUCUGUUCCACUGAUCUAUGUGUCUGUUUUUGUGCCGUACCACACUGUCUUGAUGACCACAGCUUUGUAGUACAACCUGAAAUCUGGCAUUUGAUGCCCCCAGAUAUGGUUUUCUUUUUUAAAAUUCCCUGGCUAUUCGGGUCUUUUCUGAUUCCACACAAAUCUUAAAUAAUUUGUUCUAACUCUCUGAAGAAAGUCCAUGGUAUUUGAUAGGAUUGCAUUAAACGUGUAUAUUGCCCUGGGUAACAUUGACAUUUCACAAUAUUAAUUCUGCCAAUCCAUAGCAUGGAAUAUUUUUCCAUCUCUUGUGUCUUCCUCAAUUUCUUUCAGAAGUGUUCUAUAGUUUUGAGGGUAUAGAUCUCUUUACAUCUUUGGUGAGGUUUUUCCUAGGUAUCUAUGUCUUUUGGGUGCAAUUGUAAAUGGGAUUGACUCCUUAAUUUCUCUUUCUUCGUCUCAUGUUAUGUAUAGAAUGCCACUGACUUCUGCAUGUGAUUUUGUAUCCUGCCACGCUACCGAAUGCUGUAGAGUCUAGCAAUCUUGGGGUGGAACUUUUGGGUUUCUAUGGUAGAGUAUCAGUCAUCCGAGAGGAGAGUUUGACUUCUUCUUUGCCAUUUGAAUGCCUUUAUGUCUUUUUGUUUCUGAUUGCUGAGGCUAGGACUUCCAGUACUAUGUUGAAUAGCAGUGGUGAGAGUGGACAUCCCUGUCUUGUUCCUGAUCUUAGGGAGGCUCCCAGUGCUUCCCCAUUGAGAAUAUAUUUGCUGUGGUUUUUCAUAGAUGCUUUAAAUGUCGAGGAAUGUUCCCUCUAUCCCUACACUCUGAAGAGUUUUGAUCAGGAAUGGAUGCUGUAUUUGUCAAAUGCUUUCUCGCAUCCAAUGAGAGGAUCAUAUGGUUCUUGGUUUUUCUCUUGCUGAAUGAUGAAUCACAUUGAUUGUUUUACGGGUGUUGAACCAGCCUUGUGUCCCAGGGAUAAUCCUACUUGGUCAUGGUGAAUAAUUUUCUUAAUGUACUGUUGGAUCCUAUUGGCCAGUAUCUUGUUGAGAAUUUUUGCAUCCAUGUUCAUCAGGGAUAUUGGUCUGUAUUCUCCUUUUUGGCGGGGUCUUUGCUGGCUUUGGAAUUAAGGUGAUGCUGGCUUCAUAAACGAAUUUGGAAGUACUCCAUCUCUUUCUAUCUUUCCAAACAGCUUAGGAGAAUAGGUAUGAUUCUUCUUUAAACGUUUGAUAAAUUCUCCUGGGAAGCCAUCUGGCCCUGGACCUUGUGUCUGGAGGUUUUUAUGACUGCUUCAAUUCCUCCCUGGUAUUGCCUGUUCAGGUUUUCUAUUUCUUCCUGUUCCAGUUUUGGUAGUUUGUGGCUUCCAGAAUGCGUCCUUUCUUCUAGAUUGCCUAAUUUAUUGGCGUAUAGCUGUUCAUAAUAGGUUUUUAAAUCGUUUGUGAUUUCCUUGGUGUUGGUAGUGAUCUCUCCCUUUCUCAUUCAUGAUUUAUUAAUUUGAGUCUUCUCUCUCUUCUUUUUAAUAAGGCUGGCUUGGUUUUAUCUCUUAUAAUUCUUUCAAAGAACCAACUCCUGGUUCUGUUGAUCGUUCCACAGUUCUUCUGGUCUCGAUUUCGUUGAUUUCUGCUCGAAUCUUUAUGACUCCCUUCUUCUCUUGGGUUGUAGGAUCUAUUUGCUGUUUUUCUCUAGCUCCUUUAUGUGUAAGGUUAGCUUUUGUAUUGAGUUCUUUCCAGUUUUUGAAUGGAUGCUUGUAUUGCGAUGUAUUUCCCCCUUAGGACUGCUUUUGCUGCAUCCCAAAGAUUUGAACGGUUGUAUCUUCAUCUCAUUAGUUUCCAUGAAUCUUUUAAUUCUUCCUUAUUUCCUGGUGACCCUUUUAUCUUUAGCAGGAUGGUCCUUAACCUCCAUGUGUUUGAGGUCCUUCCAACUUCUUGUUGUGAUUUAGUUCUAAUUUCAAGGCAUAUGGUCCGAGAAUAUGCAGGGCAAUCCCAAUCUUUGGUAUCGGUUCAGACCCGAUUUGUGACCCAAUAUGUGGUCUAUUCUGGAGAAGUUCCAUGUGCGCUUGAGAAGAAUGUGUAUUCAGUUGAGUUUGGAUGUAAAGUUCUGUAGAUAUCUGUGAAAUCCAUCUGGUCCGUGUAUCAUUUAAGCUCUCGUUUCUUGGAGAUGUUUUGCUGAAGACCUAUCGAGUAUAGAAAGAGCUAGAUUGAAGUCACCAAGUAUAAGUGUAUUAUUAUCUAAGAUUUCUUCACUUGGUUAAUAAUUGAUUUAUAUAUUUGGCAGCUCCCACAUUUGGAGCAUAUAUUUGAGGAUUGUUAAGUCCUUGUUGAAUAGAUCCUUUAAGUAGAUAUUGUCCCUCUUCACUCUCACUACAGUCUUGGGGUAAAUUUUAGUUUAUCUGAUAUAAGGAUGGCUACCCCUGCUUUCUUUUGAGGACCAUUCGAAUGGUAAAUGGUCUCCAACCUUUUAUUUUCAGGCUGUAGGUGUCCUUCUGUCUAAAAUGAGUCUCUUGUAGACAGCAAAUAGUGGUCCUGCUUUUUUAUCCAGUCUGAAACCCUGCGCCUUUUGAUGGGGUCAUUAAGCCCAUUCACUCGAGUUACUAUUGAGAGUAUGAGUUUAGUGUCAUCAUGAUAUCUAUUCAGUUCUUUGUUUUUGUGGACUGUUCCACUGAACUUCUUCUUGAGGGAAUUUUAAGAGGCCCCCUUAAAUUUCUUGCAGAGCUGGUUUGGAGGUCACAUAUUCUUUUAGUUGCUGCCUGUCUUGGAAGCUCUUAUCUCUCCUUCCAUUUUGAAUGAGAGCCUUGCUGGAUAAAGUAUUCUUGGUUGCAUGUUCUUUUCAUUUAGGACCCUGAAUAUAUCCUGCCAGCCCUUUCUGCCUGCCGGUCUCUUGAGAGUCGUCUUUACCCUAAUCCCUCCCCUAAAAGUCAGGGAUUUCUGUCUCUUGCUGCUUUAAGGAUCUUCUCCUUAUCUUUGGAAUUUGCAAGCUUCACAAUUAAAUGUCGAUGUUGAACGGUUUUUAUUGAUUUUAGGGGGGGAUCUCUCUAUUUCCUGGAUCUGAAUGCCUGUUUCCCUUCCCAGAUUAGGAAAGUUUUCAGCUAGAAUUUGUUCAAAUACAUAUUCUGGCCCUCUGUCCCUUUCGGCGCCCUCGGAACCCCAAUUAAACGUAGGUUUUUCUUCCUCAGGCUGUCGUUUAUUUCCCUUAAUCUAUCUUAUGGUCUUUUAAUUGUUUGUCUCUUUUUCCUCAGUUUCCCUCUUUGCCGUCAACUUGUCCUAGGUCACUCACUCGUUCUUCCACUCGUUAACCCUCGUCGUUAGGACUUCUAGUUUGGAUUGCAUCUCAUUCAAUUGGUUUUUAAUUUCUGCCUGAUUAGCUCUAAAUUCUGCAGUCAUGAAGUCUCUUGAGUCCUUUAUACUUUUUUCUAGAGCCACCAGUAGCUGUAUAAUAGUGCUUCGGAUUGGCUUUCUGACAUUGUUGUAAUCCAGAUUUUGUAACUCUGUGGGAGAGAGACUGUUUCUGAUUCUUCUUUCUUUUGAGGUGAGGUUUUCCUUCUAGUCAUUUUGCUCAGUGUAGAGUGCCAAAGAGCAAGUUGUAUUGGGAAAAGAGAAAAAGAGAGGAGAGAAAGAAGAAAAAAAGAAAGAGAAAAAAAAAAGAGAAAAGAAAAAAAAACGAAAAAAAAAAAAA
rnacentral:lncRNA from 1 species